CACGCCNUAAACGAUGAGUGCUAGGUGUUAGGCCCUUUCCGGGGCUUAGUGCCGGAGCUAACGCAAUAAGCACUCCGCCUGGGGAGUACAACCGCAAGGUUGAAACUCAAAGGAAUUGACGGGGGCCCGCACAAGCGGUGGAGCAUGUGGUUUAAUUCGAAGCAACGCGAAGAACCUUACCAGGUCUUGACAUCCCGAUGCUAUUCUUAGAGAUAGGAAGUUACUUCGGUACAUCGGAGACAGGUGGUGCAUGGUUGUCGUCAGCUCGUGUCGUGAGAUGUUGGGUUAAGUCNNNNNNCGAGCGCAACCCUUAUUGUUAGUUGCCAUCAUUAAGUUGGGCACUCUAGCGAGACUGCCGGUAAUAAACCGGAGGAAGGUGGGGAUGACGUCAAAUCAUCAUGCCCCUUAUGACCUGGGCUACACACGUGCUACAAUGGUCGGUACAACGAGUUGCGAGCCGGUGACGGCAAGCUAAUCUCUGAAAGCCGAUCUCAGUUCGGAUUGGAGGCUGCAACU
rnacentral:rRNA from 1 species